AUGGUGGCCUAAAUGGAUUAUGACGUCAUCAUCCAAGCCCCUCGCCUUUUACCGCCGGGAAGAUAUAUUUUUCGCUUUAAAAGCUUUUUCCCGUCGGUUUUUGCAAUUUUAGAGCAGCCAGUGUGUUAGAUCAUCUUUCCAAGAUAUCCCGUGCAAGGCUUCAAAGCGAUGGAGUAAAAAUGUGGAAGAUGAUAUCGACCAUGGCAAAGAAGAUGAAGAUAAAUAAAUAUAUAAGGAUGGACAUAGAGAUCAUUGAAUUUUCUUCUUUGUAUUACACUCUUAGUGAUUAAAAAACUUCUACUAUUCUUUAUUUUAAA